GGCUCUCUCAGUCUUCAGGUGGAAUCCCACUUCCUUGUAGGAAGCAGUUCACCUGUGUGUCCAUGUUUAGUGUCCAGGUGUGGAGUGGAGCUUGUUGUUUGUGUGUGUGUUUGAAGAAACUGUGAAGGUAGAAAGUGUGUGUGAGCUGAUGUGGAUGUGAAUUCAGCAGCAUGGAUCGGUGUGAGGACAGAGAGGAGGGAGUCCCUCCCUCUAACUCCACUCUGUGUGGGGAAUAUGAGAGCCAGACCAAAGCUCAGAGGAACCAACCUGGACCUGAACCCAGCUGUGGGUCUGACAAGUCUAAAGAAGAGGGCAUUCAAUUCAUUCAACUUCAGCAAACACAAAGUGAAAAAACAUUUAAUUCAAACAUAAACUAAAGCAGAAAGUAACUGCCUUAUUUGGUCUCUAUCUAUCUAUCUAUCUAUCUAUCUAUCUAUCUAUCUAUCUAUCUAUCUAUCUAUCUAUCUAUCUAUCUGUCUAUCUAUCUAUCUAUC